rnacentral:rRNA from 1 species
GAUGAACGCUGGCGGCGUGCCUAAUACAUGCAAGUCGAGCAAACAGACGAGGAGCUUGCUCCUCUGACGUUAGCGGCGGACGGGUGAGUAACACGUGGAUAACCUACCUAUAAGACUGGGAUAACUUCGGGAAACCGGAGCUAAUACCGGAUAAUAUAUUGAACCGCAUGGUUCAAUAGUGAAAGACGGUUUUGCUGUCACUUAUAGAUGGAUCCGCGCCGCAUUAGCUAGUUGGUAAGGUAACGGCUUACCAAGGCAACGAUGCGUAGCCGACCUGAGAGGGUGAUCGGCCACACUGGAACUGAGACACGGUCCAGACUCCUACGGGAGGCAGCAGUAGGGAAUCUUCCGCAAUGGGCGAAAGCCUGACGGAGCAACGCCGCGUGAGUGAUGAGGGUCUUCGGAUCGUAAAACUCUGUUAUUAGGGAAGAACAAAUGUGUAAGUAACUAUGCACGUCUUGACGGUACCUAAUCAGAAAGCCACGGCUAACUACGUG